rnacentral:rRNA from 1 species
GAUGAACGCUAGCGGCAGGCUUAAUACAUGCAAGUCGAGGGACAGCACAGGUAGCAAUACUGGGUGGUAACCGGCAAACGGGUGCGGAACACGUACACAACCUUCCUUUAAGUGGGGGAUAGCCCAGAGAAAUUUGGAUUAAUACCCCGUAAUAUAGUUGAAUGGCAUCAUUUGAUUAUUAUAGCUACGGCGCUUAAUGAUGGGUGUGCGGCUGAUUAGAUAGUUGGCGGGGUAACGGCCCACCAAGUCUACGAUCAGUAGCUGAUGUGAGAGGAUGAUCAGCCACACGGGCACUGGGACACGGGCCCGACUCCUACGGGAGGCAGCAGUAAGGAAUAUUGGUCAAUGGACGCAAGUCUGAACCAGCCAUGCCACGUGAAGGAUUAAGGUCCUCUGGAUUGUAAACUUCUUUUAUUUGGGACGAAAAAGGGCCUUUCUAGGUCAACUGACGGUACCAGAUGAAUAAGCACCGGCUAACUCCGUGCCAGCCGCCGCGGUAAAAC